UACGGAGGGAGCUAGCGUUGUUCGGAAUUACUGGGCGUAAAGCGCACGUAGGCGGCUUUUUAAGUCAGGGGUGAAAUCCCGGGGCUCAACCCCGGAACUGCCUUUGAUACUGAAAGUCUUGAGUAUGGGAGAGGUGAGUGGAACUGCGAGUGUAGAGGUGAAAUUCGUAGAUAUUCGCAAGAACACCAGUGGCGAAGGCGGCUCACUGGCCCAUAACUGACGCUGAGGCACGAAAGCGUGGGGAGCAAACAGG
rnacentral:rRNA from 1 species